rnacentral:rRNA from 1 species
GAUGAACGCUGGCGGCGUGCCUAAUACAUGCAAGUCGAGCGAACGGACGAGAAGCUUGCUUCUCUGACGUUAGCGGCGGACGGGUGAGUAACACGUGGAUAACCUACCUAUAAGACUGGGAUAACUUCGGGAAACCGGAGCUAAUACCGGAUAAUAUUUUGAACCGCAUGGUUCAAAAGUGAAAGACGGUCUUGCUGUCACUUAUAGAUGGAUCCGCGCUGCAUUAGCUAGUUGGUAAGGUAACGGCUUACCAAGGCAACGAUGCAUAGCCGACCUGAGAGGGUGGUCGGCCACACUGGAACUGAGACACGGUCCAGACGCCUACGGGAGGCAGCAGUAGGGAAUCUUCCGCAAUGGGCGAAAGCCUGACGGAGCAACGCCGCGUGAGUGAUGAAGGUCUUCGGAUCGUAAAACUCUGUUAUUAGGGAAGAACAUAUGUGUAAGUAACUGUGCACAUCUUGAUGGUACCUAAUCAGAAAGCCACGGCUAACUACGUG